CGCAAGCCUGACGGAGCAAGACCGCGUGGGGGAGGAAAGCCUUUGGGUUGUAAACCCCUUUUCUCAGGGAAGAAGAAAGUGACGGUACCUGAGGAAUCAGCCUCGGCUAACUCCGUGCCAGCAGCCGCGGUAAUACGGAGGAUGCAAGCGUUAUCCGGAAUUAUUGGGCGUAAAGCGUCCGUAGGUGGUCAUGCAAGUCUGCCGUUAAAGAAUGGAGCUUAACUCCAUAGGAGCGGUGGAAACUGCAAGACUAGAGUACAGUAGGGGUAGCAGGAAUUCCCAGUGUAGCGGUGAAAUGCGUAGAUAUUGGGAAGAACAUCGGUGGCGAAAGCGUGCUACUGGGCUGAAACUGACACUGAGGGACGAAAGCUAGGGUAGCG
rnacentral:rRNA from 1 species